rnacentral:rRNA from 6 species
AGAGUUUGAUCAUGGCUCAGAUUGAACGCUGGCGGCAGGCCUAACACAUGCAAGUCGAACGGUAACAGGAAACAGCUUGCUGUUUCGCUGACGAGUGGCGGACGGGUGAGUAAUGUCUGGGAAACUGCCUGAUGGAGGGGGAUAACUACUGGAAACGGUAGCUAAUACCGCAUAAUGUCGCAAGACCAAAGAGGGGGACCUUCGGGCCUCUUGCCAUCGGAUGUGCCCAGAUGGGAUUAGCUAGUAGGUGGGGUAACGGCUCACCUAGGCGACGAUCCCUAGCUGGUCUGAGAGGAUGACCAGCCACACUGGAACUGAGACACGGUCCAGACUCCUACGGGAGGCAGCAGUGGGGAAUAUUGCACAAUGGGCGCAAGCCUGAUGCAGCCAUGCCGCGUGUAUGAAGAAGGCCUUCGGGUUGUAAAGUACUUUCAGCGGGGAGGAAGGGAGUAAAGUUAAUACCUUUGCUCAUUGACGUUACCCGCAGAAGAAGCACCGGCUAACUCCGUGCCAGCAGCCGCGGUAAUACGGAGGGUGCAAGCGUUAAUCGGAAUUACUGGGCGUAAAGCGCACGCAGGCGGUUUGUUAAGUCAGAUGUGAAAUCCCCGGGCUCAACCUGGGAACUGCAUCUGAUACUGGCAAGCUUGAGUCUCGUAGAGGGGGGUAGAAUUCCAGGUGUAGCGGUGAAAUGCGUAGAGAUCUGGAGGAAUACCGGUGGCGAAGGCGGCCCCCUGGACGAAGACUGACGCUCAGGUGCGAAAGCGUGGGGAGCAAACAGGAUUAGAUACCCUGGUAGUCCACGCCGUAAACGAUGUCGACUUGGAGGUUGUGCCCUUGAGGCGUGGCUUCCGGAGCUAACGCGUUAAGUCGACCGCCUGGGGAGUACGGCCGCAAGGUUAAAACUCAAAUGAAUUGACGGGGGCCCGCACAAGCGGUGGAGCAUGUGGUUUAAUUCGAUGCAACGCGAAGAACCUUACCUGGUCUUGACAUCCACGGAAGUUUUCAGAGAUGAGAAUGUGCCUUCGGGAACCGUGAGACAGGUGCUGCAUGGCUGUCGUCAGCUCGUGUUGUGAAAUGUUGGGUUAAGUCCCGCAACGAGCGCAACCCUUAUCCUUUGUUGCCAGCGGUCCGGCCGGGAACUCAAAGGAGACUGCCAGUGAUAAACUGGAGGAAGGUGGGGAUGACGUCAAGUCAUCAUGGCCCUUACGACCAGGGCUACACACGUGCUACAAUGGCGCAUACAAAGAGAAGCGACCUCGCGAGAGCAAGCGGACCUCAUAAAGUGCGUCGUAGUCCGGAUUGGAGUCUGCAACUCGACUCCAUGAAGUCGGAAUCGCUAGUAAUCGUGGAUCAGAAUGCCACGGUGAAUACGUUCCCGGGCCUUGUACACACCGCCCGUCACACCAUGGGAGUGGGUUGCAAAAGAAGUAGGUAGCUUAACCUUCGGGAGGGCGCUUACCACUUUGUGAUUCAUGACUGGGGUGAAGUCGUAACAAGGUAACCGUAGGGGAACCUGCGGUUGGAUCACCU